rnacentral:misc_RNA from 1 species
GUUGGAUGGCUUCAAAUACCUCAUUCUCCGUGUUGCUGAAGUUUGGAGCUUCCAGGUCGUCUAUUUUCGACGUUGGUGGUUGGAUCACGAGUCCGUCGGAGCUCGGAGGUUCACCUGAGACGACGUCGCCGCAGCUGGGCUUUGCCGGUUGUUUCUCACGAGUUCACUGGGGACUGUUUGGUUGCUCACCGGAGCUCGUGGCUUUGUUGUUGUUGUUGACGGUUCAAUGGAGCCAAAAGCUCGCCGGAGAAAGAGGUUUCAGUAGGCUCGUUUGCUGGAUAAUUGGAGAAGUAGGUGUUGUGUGGGUACUCCGGUGGUGGCGGC